UGAUCCUGGCUCAGAUUGAACGCUGGCGGCAUGCCUUACACAUGCAAGUCGAACGGUAACAGCUCUUCGGAGGCUGACGAGUGGCGAACGGGUGAGUAAUACAUCGGAACGUGCCCGAUCGUGGGGGAUAACGGAGCGAAAGCUUUGCUAAUACCGCAUACGAUCUACGGAUGAAAGCAGGGGACCCUCGGGCCUUGCGCGAACGGAGCGGCCGAUGGCAGAUUAGGUAGUUGGUGGGAUAAAAGCUUACCAAGCCGACGAUCUGUAGCUGGUCUGAGAGGACGACCAGCCACACUGGGACUGAGACACGGCCCAGACUCCUACGGGAGGCAGCAGUGGGGAAUUUUGGACAAUGGGCGAAAGCCUGAUCCCAGCAAUUGCCGCGUGCAUGAUGAAGGCCUUUCCGGGUUNUAAACUGAUUUUAUACGGAACGNAAAGUCUCUGGGAUAAUAACCCUGGGACCAUGACGGUACCGUAAGAAUAAGCACCGGCUAA
rnacentral:rRNA from 1 species